rnacentral:rRNA from 1 species
AUCCUGGCUCAGAUUGAACGCUGGCGGCAGGCCUAACACAUGCAAGUCGAGCGGAAACGACACUAACAAUCCUUCGGGUGCGUUAAUGGGCGUCGAGCGGCGGACGGGUGAGUAAUGCCUAGGAAAUUGCCUUGAUGUGGGGGAUAACCAUUGGAAACGAUGGCUAAUACCGCAUAAUGCCUACGGGCCAAAGAGGGGGAUCUUCGGGCCUCUCGCGUCAAGAUAUGCCUAGGUGGGAUUAGCUAGUUGGUGAGGUAAUGGCUCACCAAGGCGACGAUCCCUAGCUGGUCUGAGAGGAUGAUCAGCCACACUGGAACUGAGACACGGUCCAGACUCCUACGGGAGGCAGCAGUGGGGAAUAUUGCACAAUGGGCGAAAGCCUGAUGCAGCCAUGCCGCGUGUAUGAAGAAGGCCUUCGGGUUGUAAAGUACUUUCAGUUGUGAGGAAGGGUGUGUAGUUAAUAGCUGCGACAUCUUGACGUUAGCAACAGAAGAAGCACCGGCUAA